AGAGUUUGAUCCUGGCUCAGAUUGAACGCUGGCGGCAGGCUUAACACAUGCAAGUCGAGCGGGGAAGGUUGCUUUGGUAACUGACCUAGCGGCGGACGGGUGAGUAAUGCUUAGGAAUCUGCCUAUUAGUGGGGGACAACAUUCCGAAAGGAAUGCUAAUACCGCAUACGCCCUACGGGGGAAAGCAGGGGAUCUUCGGACCUUGCGCUAAUAGAUGAGCCUAAGUCGGAUUAGCUAGUUGGUGGGGUAAAGGCCUACCAAGGCGACGAUCUGUAGCGGGUCUGAGAGGAUGAUCCGCCACACUGGGACUGAGACACGGCCCAGACUCCUACGGGAGGCAGCAGUGGGGAAUAUUGGACAAUGGGCGGAAGCCUGAUCCAGCCAUGCCGCGUGUGUGAAGAAGGCCUUUUGGUUGUAAAGCACUUUAAGCGAGGAGGAGGCUCCUUUAGUUAAUACCUAAAGAGAGUGGACGUUACUCGCAGAAUAAGCACCGGCUAACUCUGUGCCAGCAGCCGCGGUAAUACAGAGGGUGCGAGCGUUAAUCGGAUUUACUGGGCGUAAAGCGUGCGUAGGCGGCUUUUUAAGUCGGAUGUGAAAUCCCUGAGCUUAACUUAGGAAUUGCAUUCGAUACUGGGGAGCUAGAGUAUGGGAGAGGAUGGUAGAAUUCCAGGUGUAGCGGUGAAAUGCGUAGAGAUCUGGAGGAAUACCGAUGGCGAAAGCAGCCAUCUGGCCUAAUACUGACGCUGAGGUACGAAAGCAUGGGGAGCAAACAGGAUUAGAUACCCUGGUAGUCCAUGCCGUAAACGAUGUCUACUAGCCGUUGGGGCCUUUGAGGCUUUAGUGGCGCAGCUAACGCGAUAAGUAGACCGCCUGGGGAGUACGGUCGCAAGACUAAAACUCAAAGGAAUUGACGGG
rnacentral:rRNA from 1 species